CAGGCAUUUCAGGUUGGACAGAAAUCUGCUUUAGAUAGCAUCUUCCAGCAAUGCUAAGACUUCUGCUCUAGGACUGCAGCUCCCUUGGCCUGCAAAUCAUUGGGUGGCCUCUCGUUUCCUCCUCAGGCUCUUUUAUUCCUCUACUAAUCAGCAACGUGGAAAGUGGGAGAGGAGAAGUCACUACUGCAGCAAUAAAAAUUCAUCAAACAAACCACUGAUCAUGGUAGAAAGCUGCUAAAGAGAGAGGUAUGUCAGCAAACUUAAUGUGCUGGGAACAGAGGUAUGCGCUCCUAGAACCUGAGGAUCUUGUCUCUGCCCCAGCUGACCCCCAGGGAGGACAAGGAGCAAAGCCACCUAAAUACCAGUUCAACACAAAAGAAACUCGAGUACAGAUUUGAACUACAUCUUAAAUACAGAAGCAGCAUCACGCUGAGGAGGGAAUUGUUUUUCAGGGAACCCUUCCUUCCAAAGGUGAUCUCAAGCUGUGAUGAAACAGAAGGUCAAUGCAGGCAGUAGAUGGAUUAUUUCCUGAAAUUGCCACAAUGCCCAAAGAAAGAGGGGUAUGGGCCAUUCCUCCUAAACUACCCAUGCCACAGGGACAGCCAUCCUGCAGCCCUCACAGCCAGGCAGGUAGGCAACAGCUCCAGCUCAUCUUCAGUGCUCCUUGGAUACUUCUGCUCAUCCAGCCCAGCUAAAUGCUGCACUGGCUAUGAACCUCCCACACUCCCUUUAACUGUCUGUGAGAAGUAAUUUUCUUGUGUUAAUUGACAAAAGAUUUACUAUUUGUCUGACUAGGAGGACAAAAGGGGAAAUAACAACCUACUCUGACCCAGUGGUGGUUAGAAGCAUCCUGAAACUCAAUCAGUCAUCAUUAGGAAAGGAGAUCGACAGUAAGCUCAAACAAAGUUUCAGUUUUGUUUGUUCUAAAGCCAGUGAAAUAAUUCAUUUUUCCCAUCAUUUCAGAAUUUGAGUGCAAUCUAGAGAAUGCUAAAUAAACUGGCAAGCAUAGGAUUCAGAGCUACUGCUGAAGUUUAAUCAUAUUCACAUGUGAAUUCACUGGAACCUGAUGAGUUACCAUCAUAUGUCUGCUUGUUUAUUUUAUUCAUCCUUUUCCAUAUUCACAGCUUUGUCAGAGAUUUAUAAAAGUUACACAGUUCCUAUUUUACCUCUGUUCAUACAAUUAAAAAGAAACUGUGAAAAAAAAGUUCGCCAGUUUCCUUUCCUUCCUUGAGAAGUUCUUGAAAACCUAUCUGUUCUGGGACACGCUCCACCUGCGAGGCAGAUGCCUCCCUGGCUUGUGCUUUAUUUGCUUGUGUGCCUUAAACUGGAUAUUCUUUUGGUAGCAGGUCUGCUAAGCACCUGGUAUGCUGCCUUCGUUGGAGGCGGCUGUAUUUACGCUUAUAGCACUACUAGUUCUGUAUUGUUCUGUGUUGGAAAGAAAGGAACAUGCUGUUAAACUGUCAGCUUGCUCCACCGUGCUUCUUGUAAUAUGACUUUGCAGCAAUGAUUCUCCUGCAAUGACAUUAGUGACGACAGCAGUCGCGACACCAGUGGUGAUAAUGAAAGUAUCUGAGGUUAAUUUUUAAUUUUUUUUUCUAUAACAGAAAGCAGCAGGAAUUAAUUAAGCAGUUUCUUAUGAAGCAGUUUCUGUUCCAGUUAUCUGCACAGUUUACUUAGGCAGGGUAAUGGUGUAACUGCACUGCUUUGCUCAACACCUGAGGCAGCUUAGUGAUUAGGAAAUAGGGAGAAAAGUCAAGGAACUUGUCAAGGGACUAGGUUUUGUGCUUGUCAGAGUGAAAGAGAAAAAACCUACAGGUUUUCAUGGAGAAGGAUAAAGCCUGUGGAAUUCAAUGCACAAUUCUGAAACAAAUUGAUUAAUAAUAGACAUUCAGUUGUUUCUUCUCAUACAUCCCUGCUUUUUAUACAUCAGAAUUAUUAUCAGCAGUAUAACAGGGGAAAAUGUCAAGGUUUUUACUUUGAUGGUGUUGGAUUUUUUUUUACAUCAUUAGCACUUGUUACCAUAAUCUGUAUGGU